rnacentral:lncRNA from 1 species
UAAUUUUCAAACUUUGUUGUUUUAGUUCAUACUUUAUGUACAUAAGUGCAGCAAAAAGGGAAAAAAUAAAAGAGAAAAUAUGCACAAAAAGAAUUGAGAAUGAUGGACAAAAUUGAUAAAGAAAAGAGAACAAUAAUCAAAAGUUGCUUACGGCGAUAUUAUGUUAAAAAUUAUAUAUUUUCCAGCCAAAGGGGGGUUUGUUUACCCUGUACCAUAACACCCACCCCUAACCCCACCGUGAAUCCAACAAUCUAGAUUCGAUUGGUUGUAUUAGUUGAAGUGUAUCAUGUGAUUAGUGAUGAAGGGUCUUUGAUAUUGUGGAGCCUAUGUAGUAAUGUAUUUAUGUUAAU